UUUAUUUUUCUGUCUCAAAUUGAUUUUAAUAUUAUUUCAACAAAAUAUAAUUUUUUUUAAUUAACAAAAAGAGUAAAUUUAUUUUAAUAAAAUAUAAUUUCAAUAUUUAUUCAAAAAGUGUAUUCCCUCGCAAUUUGUUAUACGGGACCCGUCGCAGACCCUGGUAGUUGUCGGUCAGCACAGGUACGGCAGAAACGAAAGAACGAUUUGAUCUACCUUCUUUGAUUAGAGUCUUUAAUCAGCAAACGAUUUGAAAAAACUCCUGCCAAACGAAGAAGGCAACCCCCCCUAAAACCCCAACAUUGAAUUAUAAUGUAACCAAUAGCAAGAUUCGAACCUACGCGCACUUGUGAACGAACAUUUCGCUUUAGACAAUUAUUGGCGAUGCGUUAGCACGCUCGACCAACACUGGUCAAUCCGUAUCUGUGCUACUGCGUUAUUUCACCUAUAUGCUAACAAUCAGCUCAGUGUGUGGGAGUGCGCUCGUGUAAUGAUGGUCAGCUGUAUCGAUAGUUUGCAUAUCAUUUUCCUACUGAGAAUCGCUUGAGAAUUGGGUCGGACGUGUGUGGCAUGACUGAGUGAGGCUAGUGAAAAUAAUAGUUGCGCUGAGGCUACGUAAUGCUUAAUUGGUUACACAAAUGGUUGUGGUGUUAUGAAGUUAAGUUUGCUUGUUGGAAAGUUGGUGACUUUGGUGGUUUGAGGAAGAAGAAGAGCGCAUUAGCGAACCAAACGCCGAUAAAAUCACAAUUUCAACCAAAAAUGUUCAUCCAUUUAUUGCUUGUAUCGAAUUUAGCAUAUCUAGUGAUGGCCACCAACUAAGCCGGCAGCCAUACAGUUUGAAGACCUAUCACUCUGCUACAUUCAAACAUACACGCUGUUUUACACGCUGAUUUGCAUAAAACGCGUUUCUCCUACCAAGCAAAACAGUUCCUUCAGUCAACACACACUCUGGGUUCGCAUAUUUCGAAAAUAUUUCCAACCAAACAUCGCACACGUGAACUGAGUUACAAUAAAAACAAAAAACUAGUUUAACAACGUCACGACGAACAUCUUCACUACAGUUGGCAGCUGCUACAUGCGCGCCGACAGCCCAGCAGUUGCCCAGCAGCGCACACCGAUUGCUUCACAUUUGCACGCCACCAAGCAGCGUUUUAGCGGGGACGUCAGCAUUUCAUAAUUAACAUAUUAUUUAAACCGCCACUAAUAUAUGAUUACAUGCGGCCAUUUGAUUUCUUCUCAAUUUGAAUAAAGUAUUGAAUUUCAGUGCUCAUACACAGCGCUGGAACUUUAUUUGGAAUUAAGAUGAUUUAAAAAAGGAAUUUUUAGAGGAGAAAAAUUAAAUAUGAAUUUUA